rnacentral:misc_RNA from 1 species
UUGUAGCACGAGAUGUUGGAUAGUUGGAGAAUCAAGGGUGUCUUGAAUUCGACUUGCCACUGUUGUUUCCGGUGAUAUCCAUGACAGCUCCAAACAAGUUUCAUCCCCACCUUCAUCUUAUGUCAUUUCCUACUGGUUUUUGUGCUGCUGUUUUGUUCUUCACCAUAUGACGGUGAUUGUUGCAUUGGCUCAGAUCUGCAGCUCGUAUUUGCGAGGAAUCCUAAUGUGGUCCGGCCUUCAUACUCCCGUUCAGAUGAGUUCUGCAGGCUAUAUGGUAGUGGUCUCAUCUGCAAUGAUUGAUGCAAACAGACAUGAUGUGAUUACUCUUCAUUCUGAUGAAGAGGUAGGAUCACCUUUGCCAUGUUGGGUGCCCUUGCAUGGCAGGUCACCAAAUCCUCAAUAAAAUUGUUUGUUGAUUGUGUGUUCUUGAGAAGAUUGCACGGGGCCUAUAUCCCUGGGUCUCCCCUGCUUCA